rnacentral:rRNA from 1 species
CAAAGGAAUUGACGGGGACCCGCACAAGCGGUGGAUGAUGUGGAUUAAUUCGAUGCAACGCGAAAAACCUUACCUACCCUUGACAUGCCAGGAACCCUGCUGAGAGGUGGGGGUGCUCGAAAGAGAGCGUGGGCACAGGUGCUGCAUGGCUGUCGUCAGCUCGUGUCGUGAGAUGUUGGGUUAAGUCCCGCAACGAGCGCAACCCUUGUCAUUAGUUGCCAUCAUUUAGUUGGGCACUCUAAUGAGACUGCCGGUGACAAACCGGAGGAAGGUGGGGAUGACGUCAAGUCCUCAUGGCCCUUAUGGGUAGGGCUUCACACGUCAUACAAUGGUCGGUACAGAGGGUUGCCAAGCCGCGAGGUGGAGCCAAUCCCAGAAAGCCGAUCGUAGUCCGGAUCGUAGUCUGCAACUCGACUGCGUGAAGUCGGAAUCGCUAGUAAUCGUGGAUCAGCAUGCCACGGUGAAUACGUUCCCGGGUCUUGUACACACCGCCCGUCACACCAUGGGAGUGGGUUUCACCAGAAGUAGGUAGCCUAACCGCGAGGGGGC